rnacentral:lncRNA from 1 species
ACUACUUGCGCACCACCGCCUUAGUUGGUUGCGUGCAGGCAAGCGGCCCCGCACCGGGCCAGGCCACCCCCUGCCAUCUCCGGUGGACCUGGGAUUCCUAAUCUCCCACACCCUGCGCCAGGCUCUCCCGAGACCUAUCGCCUCUCGGCGCCAGUCCUAGCCAAGGCGACAGAUCUCAUUGUUGCAGGCCCUUAGACCCCCGCCCUCAGUAAACGUGUUUACUUUAUUCCUAGGGUUGAGGAGGAAAGCAGAUACAGACAUAUAGCAUUCCCCACUGUCUCCUUUGUUGGCUUUAAAAAAAAAAAAAAAGAAAGUAAAUGGACUUGCCACAGUGUACAGGCAAGAGGAGGGGAGGAUUAUCCUAAUCAAUUACUGAGCCAAUUGAUUUUUUUUUUUGCGUUAACGUAGGUAUUUUGACCAAGAUUUGUAAUGUCUAGUGUGUGUUCUUUAUGGCAGUGUUUCAUCUUUUGGCAUCCUUGAAAUGUCAGUUUUGUGUAAUUGUCUCAUGAACAAUGAAUUAUGCACACCCUUUAAUAAAUGUAAACUAACAAUUGGUUUUGGGAUUGUCUUCUUACAAAAUUAUUUAUCCUCUUAAAGUUUAAAAAGGCUUUAGAGACUGAGAGGAAAAUGCAUUUGAUUAAACAGAUAGUACUGAUGAACUCCAAAAACGUGUAUUGUGCGUUUUCAUUACUUUACGUUUUAAUGCACUCUAAUUUCCCAUUAAACUAGGUACCCAAACUGUGUUUAAAAGUUGCUACUAAAAAGUUAAACAUGCCUAUCGCGGUCGCUCACCUCUGAGCGCUUUGGGAGGACAAGGCUGGAGUAUCGCUUGAGGCCAGCAGAUACAGGCGGACAGCUGUGAUCAAGCCACUGCACUGCAGCCUGUGGGCCAGAGCCGGUAAUCUCUAAAUGUAGAGGCCAGGUAUUUCAGUUUUCUAGCAUACCUAUUUUUAAAACUCAGAAAUCAUCUUGUCCUUAACUGAGAAACCUAAAAAUCAUAAAAUGCUUUACGAAAGGAAAACCAGUGGUACAUAGUUGAUAUAAUGAGUUAAGUGCUGGAUAGCAAUUCUCUUUUCAAACCAUUGGUUUGACCUUGUUUUCUCAAGUCGUUACCUUUUGUUUCAAAAAUGAUAAAUGAGAGGCGGCUCACCCCUGUAAUUCCAAAACACUUUGGAAGGCUGAGAUAAAAUCAGCUUGUGCUCAACUGAUAGUUGGAGACAAGCCUGGAAAAUAGGGCGAUCCAUCUGUACAAAAAAAUUGAAAAGUGCUGGGUGUGGUGGAACACGCCUGUAGUCCCAGCUAUGGGAGGCUUAAGCCCAUUUGUUUGGGCUAUGAUUGUGAUACCACACUCCAGCCUUUAUGACAGAGCAAGAUCUUGUAUUUAAAUAAAUAAAAUCUUGUUUGAGAAAUUUUCAUCAAGUUAAGACAAUGUAUUUUGAGGAAAGAAAAGUAUUUUUACAUUAUGUUUUUCAGUAAAAAAAACUAGCCUAAUUUCAUAUGUAAUUAACAUAAUUUCAAAAUACUGAUAACGUUCAAGUUUUUAGAGAUGGUACCUGGCUCUGCCACGCAGGCUGGAG